rnacentral:rRNA from 1 species
AGUGAACGCUGGCGGUAGGCCUAACACAUGCAAGUCGAACGGCAGCACAGUAAGAGCUUGCUCUUACGGGUGGCGAGUGGCGGACGGGUGAGGAAUACAUCGGAAUCUACUUUUUCGUGGGGGAUAACGUAGGGAAACUUACGCUAAUACCGCAUACGACCUACGGGUGAAAGCAGGGGAUCUUCGGACCUUGCGCGAUUGAAUGAGCCGAUGUCGGAUUAGCUAGUUGGCGGGGUAAAGGCCCACCAAGGCGACGAUCCGUAGCUGGUCUGAGAGGAUGAUCAGCUACACUGGAACUGAGACACGGUCCAGACUCCUACGGGAGGCAGCAGUGGGGAAUAUUGGACAAUGGGCGCAAGCCUGAUCCAGCCAUACCGCGUGGGUGAAGAAGGCCUUCGGGUUGUAAAGCCCUUUUGUUGGGAAAGAAAAGCAGCAGGUUAAUACCCCGCUGUUCUGACGGUACCCAAAGAACAAGCACCGGCUAACUUCGUG